GGGCCCGCACAAGCGGUGGAGCAUGUGGUUUAAUUCGAUGAUACGCGAGGAACCUUACCAGGGGCUUAAAUGUUAGGUGACAGAUCUAGAAAUAGAUUUUUCUUCGGACUCAUUACAAGGUGCUGCAUGGUUGUCGUCAGCUCGUGCCGUGAGGUGUCAGGUUAAGUCCUAUAACGAGCGCAACCCCUAUCGUUAGUUGCCAGCGGGUCAUGCCGGGAACUCUAGCGAAACUGCCGGUGCAAACCGUGAGGAAGGUGGGGAUGACGUCAAAUCAUCACGGCCCUUACGUCCUGGCUACACACGUGCUACAAUGGUCGGUACAGAGAGCAGCCACUACGCGAGUAG
rnacentral:rRNA from 1 species